rnacentral:rRNA from 1 species
UACACUCCUGCGGGAGGCAGCAGUGGGGAAUAUUGGACAAUGGGCGCAAGCCUGAUCCAGCCAUGCCGCGUGAGUGAUGAAGGCCCUAGGGUUGUAAAGCUCUUUCACCGGUGAAGAUAAUGACGGUAACCGGAGAAGAAGCCCCGGCUAACUUCGUGCCAGCAGCCGCGGUAAUACGAAGGGGGCUAGCGUUGUUCGGAUUUACUGGGCGUAAAGCGCACGUAGGCGGACUAUUAAGUCAGGGGUGAAAUCCCGGGGCUCAACCCCGGAACUGCCUUUGAUACUGGUAGUCUUGAGUUCGAGAGAGGUGAGUGGAAUUCCGAGUGUAGAGGUGAAAUUCGUAGAUAUUCGGAGGAACACCAGUGGCGAAGGCGGCUCACUGGCUCGAUACUGACGCUGAGGUGCGAAAGCGUGGGGAGCAAACAGGAUUAGAAACCGUGUAGUCCCAUG